rnacentral:rRNA from 1 species
CUCUUUCUCGAUUCAGUGGAUGGUGGUGCAUGGCCGUUCUUAGUUGGUGGAGUGAUCUGUCUGGUUAAUUCCGAUAACGAACGAGACUCUCCCCUGCUAACUAGUCAGUUGGAUCUUGCUCGGUGAGUUGCGCACCGAGUUCACUCGCGGGCGUGGGUUGCGCGCGUGUGGCUGGCUUCGGUUGGUCAUGCGUGUGUCGCUUGCUGUUCGUGAGCCUCGGACCGUGCACUCCAAGUCCGCUGCUUAUGCUAUAACUCUUCUUAGAGGGAUUCACGGUUCUGAAGCCGUCAGAGACUGAGAGCAAUAACAGGUCUGUGAUGCCCUUAGAUGCUCUGGGCUGCACGCGCGCUACAAUGCCGGGCACAGCAGGUCUUUUCCCUGCUCCGUCAGGAGCGGGUAAUCCUCUGAAAGCCAGUUUGUACUCGUGUCUGACACGAAAGGCGUGCUUGGGCCUGGGACUUGCAAUUCUUUCCCACAAACGAGGAAUGCCUAGUAGCGGCGGGUCACUGAGCCCGCUGUGACUCAGUCCCUGCCCUUUGUACACACCGCCCGUCGCUACUACCGAUUGGGUGUACCAGUGAGAGCCUUGGACUGGCGUCCGUUGCCUUCGGGCAAACGGGUCCGACGGAAAGAGGUCCGAACUGGUGCACUUAGAGGAAGUAAAAGUCGUAACAAGGUUUCCGUAGGUGAACCUGCGGAAGGAUCAA